rnacentral:rRNA from 1 species
UUAACACAUGCAAGUCGAACGAGGAAUUCGUUCAAAGUUUCGGACGAGACGGAGGUUUCCGAGUGGCGGACGGGUGAGUAACGCGUGGGUAACCUGCCGUAUGCAGGGGGACAACAGCCGGAAACAGCUGCUAAUACCGCAUAAGCCGGCGGGGCCGCAUGGCCCAGCCGGAAAAGAUUUAUCGGCAUACGAUGGACCCGCGUCUGAUUAGCCAGUUGUGGGGUAACGGCCCACCAAAGCGACGAUCAGUAGCCGAACUGAGAGGUUGACCGGCCACAUUGGGACUGAGACACGGCCCAGACUCCUACGGGAGGCAGCAGUGGGGAAUAUUGCACAAUGGGGGGAACCCUGAUGCAAGCAACGCCGCGUGAGUGAAGAAGUAUUUCGGUAUGUAAAGCUCUAUCAGCAGGGAAGAGAAUGACGGUACCUGCAUAAGAAGCCCCGGCUAACUACGUGCCAGCAGCCGC